rnacentral:rRNA from 1 species
CUUGGUGACAAUGCGUUUUGGACCCACCUGACCCCAUGCCGAACUCAGUAGUGAAACGAAACAGCGCCGAUGAUAGUGUAGCAGCUGCUAUGUGAAAGUAGGUCAUCGCCAGGC